GCACCACAAGGGGUGAAGCCUGCGGUUCAAUUGGACUCAACGCCGGAAAACUUACCAGGGGAGACAGCAGUAUGACGGUCAGGUUGACGACCUUACCUAACGAGCUGAGAGGAGGUGCAUGGCCGUCGCCAGUUCGUGCCGUGAGGUAUCCUGUUAAGUCAGGCAACGAACGAGAUCCGCACCUUUAUUUGCCACCAAGAAGUCACGACUUCGUUGGGAACACUAAAGGGACCGCCGUCGAUAAGACGGAGGAAGGAGCGGGCAAAGGCAGGUCAGUAUGCCCCGAAACCCCUGGGCUACACGCGGGCUGCAAUGGUAUGAACAAUGGGCUGUGACUCCGAAAGGAGAAACCAAUCCCGAAAUCAUAUCUCAGUUGGAAUUGUCGGCUGUAACCCGCCGACAUGAACGCGGAAUCCCUAGUAAUCGUGUGUCAUCAUCGCACGGUGAAUACGUCUUUGCUCCUUGCACACACCGCCCGUCGCUCCAUCCGAGUGUGCUAAAAAUGAGGUUUGGUCAAUUUGGUCAUAUCGAGUUUCUAGUAUGCGAGGAGGGAG
rnacentral:rRNA from 1 species